GAUGAAGAACGCAGCGAAAUGCGAUAAGUAAUGUGAAUUGCAGAGUUCAGUGAAUCAUCGAAUCUUUGAACGCACAUUGCGCCCGCCAGUAUUCUGGCGGGCAUGCCUGUCCGAGCGUCAUUGCUGCCCUCAAGCACGGCUUGUGUGUUGGGCCCCGUCCUCCGAUCCCGGGGGACGGGCCCGAAAGGCAGCGGCGGCACCGCGUCCGGUCCUCGAGCGUAUGGGGCUUUGUCACCCGCUCUGUAGGCCCGGCCGGCGCUUGCCGAUCAACCCAAAUUUUUAUCCAGGUUGACCUCGGAUCAGGUAGGGAUACCCGCUGAACUUAAGCAUAUCAAUAAGCGGAGGA
rnacentral:misc_RNA from 1 species